UUAGGGGAUUUACGGGAUGUGGCCGAAGAAGACCGUGCAAGGGAGAAAGUUACCUACACAGCAAGUGAGCUCCCUCGUCGUUUCCGAUCAAAAUGUUGACACUUCCGGUCCGACAGGCAAGGAAAGUCGUCGGAGGCACGAAGUCGGUCGGCACAAAGGAGUCGGAGAAGGUAGAGUACUCUCUCUCUCUCUCUCUCUCUCUCUCUCUCUCUCUCUCGGUCAGAGAAGGUCGGACGUCGGGUUUUGAUCGGAGAAGGAGGAGGUGUCGGUCUACUGGAGUGGAGUCGGAUUUGGAAGAUUAGAUCGACGGGAGCUGGCCGGCUUAACGAUCUGGGGUUUCGGAUGGGAGAGGCGGAGAAGGAAGGAGAAGUAGCGAUCGUGUGGGGCUUCCGAAUGGAGCAGGCAGAGAGCGAGUGUGGAGUCGAGCGUGGAGAGGUAUCGGGAGAGGCUUGCGAUGCUUUAGCUCUAUUCGCUCGGUAUUUAAAGACCUGAAUGGGAGUGGGAUCGAGGGAUCGACGUAGGAUUUUUGCAAAAAUCCCGGAACGGCGCCGGUUGUACAGUGGUAUCGCCGGAUUUUGGCAGAAUUUGCGGGAUCUAGCAGAGGUAAUUUGCAGAUGGUGUGCGGGUAGACCAUCAAAAGGUUAAAUCCAUUUCAGAAUGGCCGACGCCUCAAUCAUUUUUUGAUGUGCGAAGUUUCCAUGUAUUGGCAAAUUUCUAUCGAUGCUUUAUAUAAGGUUUCAAUAUACUAGUUUCCCCACUCACUGAUUUUUGAAUUCCAAAUAAUUCUCUUGGUUAGAUGCUCAACAAUCGAGCGUUGAAGCUGUUAAGGCUGCCCUCUCUUCUGCUUCGGUUCUUGCGCUUCCAGAUUUCGAAAAGCCUUUAUUAUUGAAAAGAUGCUUUGGCCACAGGUAUUGGCGCCAACUUGAUGAAGGAAAACAAGCCAAUUGAAUAUUUUAGUGAAAAACUUUAUCCUGCUCGCCAAAAAUGGAGUGUCAUGAACAAGAGAUUUACUUCAUUGUGCAUGCUCUCAAAGAAUGGGAACACUAUCUUCUGCAUCAAGAUUUUAUAUUGCACAACGACCACACGGCUUUAUAGUAUAUUAACAAUCAGAAAAUGCUGAAUCGCAUGCAUGCUUGAUGGAUUUUAUUUUUACAAAGUUUCACUUUUGUCCUCAAAAACAAUUCUGGUUCGGAAAAUAGAGUUGUCGAUGCUUUGAGCAGAAAAUGAACUCUAUUGUCUCAGUUGAAUACCGAAUUGACAGGGCUCCAAUGCCUUCAGGAGUUAUAUGAAACUGACAACGAUUUCAACCAAAUUUUGGAUGGGUGCUUGAAGCAGACAAUUAUGGGGCAAUACUUCAUAAGACAUGGUUAUUUAUUCAAACAGCAUGCUAUGUGCAUACCGGAUUCGUCCUGGCGACACCAAAUUAUUCAAGAAAUCCAUUUUGGAGGCCUUGUAGCUCACGUCGGACGUGGGAAGACCAUCGAGCAAUUGCAAUCUCGUUUCUUUUUGCCACAUUUGCGUCGCGACAUCACCCAAUUUUUCGAGUGCUGUCAGUAUGCUAAGUCUAUAAAGGUGGUAAACAUAACACCAGAUUGUACAUGUCAUUAUCGGUUUCAAACACAAUAUGGGAAUAUCUUAGUCUUGAUUUUUUUCUUUAGACUUCCUAGAACAAAGCGAGGUAAUGACUCUAUUAUGGUUGUAGUAGACAGAUUCUUGAAGAUGGCACAUUUCAUUGCUUGCAAAAAAUCUUUGAUGCUCUUAAUAUUUCCCGCUUGUUCUUUAAUGUAAUAGUCUGCCUACAUGGCAUUCCGCGCAGUUUGACUUCGGACAAGGAUGUUAAAUUUAUUAGUCAUUUUUGACAUGAACUCUGGAAAAGACUUAAAACUUAUGUCAAUCUAAGUUCAGCUAAUCACCCUCAAUUGGAUGGACAAAUCGAGGUGGUAAACUGUACUCUGGGAAAUAUGCUAAGGUGCUUAGUACGUACAAGAGCAACCUAAACGAUGGGUUGAGUUGUUGAACCAAGCUGAGUUCGCAUAUAAUAACAUGUCGAAUCGUUCAACCUGUACUUCUCCAUUUCAUAUUAUUUAUACUAAGGUGCCUAAUCAUACGGUCGAAGUCGCUAUUUUACCAAAAUGUAGCAAUCGAAAUGCAGCACAAUUGGUUGACCAAUUUUCUCAGAUGCUCCAUGACAUCCGCAUCAAACUUCUCAAUUCUAAUGAGAAUUAUAAAAUGGCAGCUGACUCCCAUUGGUGGGAGAAAAUUUUUAAACCCGGUGGGCUAGUCAUGGUACGCCUUCACCGUGAAAGGUUACCUUCUGGUGUAUAUUCUAAAUUGGGUCGUCGCAAAGUUGACAUUUUCCCAUCUUGAAAAAAUCAACGACAACGCCUACAUUAUAGAUCUACCAUAUAAAUUUAGCACAGCUUCUACUUUCAACGUAGCAGAUCUUCACCCAUAUUAUCCAACAGAUGAAGCACGAACAAACAUUUCUACUGAGAUAGCAGAAUCUUCUUCGGCGGGGGAGUCCUGAUGCGGAACAUCUUUGGCCAAGGGAGUAUCUUACCAUUUCUAUUAUGCUUUUAGCCAUAUUAUUGCUUCACUAGUUGUCUUUCCACUACUUCAUUUCCUGUUUUAAUUAUCUACUAGUAGGUUUGGCUUUUACUAGCAAUACUAAUAGUCUCCUAGAUAUUAUAAAACUGAUAUAUACUUGUAUUACGUGAAGGAGCACAUAUAGAGAAGAAAUAUACCUCAGUUAUCUGCUAUUUGUGUUGUUUUAGUUUCAAUUCCAAUCGUUUGCUGGCUGGACGUCUCCUCUCCGAUUACCUACAUCAUUAGGGAGAAGCAUUAAAAAAAAAAGACAAACUAAAGGUCCAAGAUUACCAAGAAAGUGUAUGUUGAUAUAGAAUGGAGAGGAGCACUAUUUAUAAGAAAGAGCGUGGAAGAUCUGAAACAUUGAACUCCCAAGUGAUAUCAUUUCACUUAAAAUGUCAUCACAAUCAUUGAUGUGACUACCAAAUACUAAGCUAAUUUUAUAAUUUCCUAUUCAUUCAGAAACCCAACUGACACAUCACCAGCUUUAACUUAAUCAAACGUUGAUGUCAUGAUAAAAAUUUUUACUUCAUAUGGUCAGAUGAAUUCACACUGAAUUGAAUAACGAAUAUGAUUUCAGGAUAAAAGUGCUACUUCCAACUUCAUAACAAAGGUCUUCAAGGUAGAGAACUGAUUUCAAAUAAUGACAAGAUAAAGAAAUAGCUUCACAAAAAAAAGAAGAUUUAUUACAGAAAAAUAGAAAUAAUUAAGAUCUAAACUCAAUAUUGUAAGCUCAUCCAAUUUCUUAAGAAAUGAGCUUUCAUUUCAUUUAAAGUAUAUUACAUUAAGCAAAUAAAAGUAGAACCCUUAUAUCCAUAACUUUUUCCUACAAUUCUAUUUUUUAUGAGAUAUAUCAAAGCAAAAAAGAAAAAAAAAAUAGAAAAUCAUUUCCUGAAAAAAUAAAUUGUUGGAGCUGUAGGUUUUAACUCUUCAUACAAUAACAUUGAAAGCUCUUUUAUGAGAUCGUGCAUGCAACUUGCUGGUUGAGUGAAGCUUUUCCUCUCACACAGCUCAUUUUUGAAUCCCCUAAUUGUCCCAAAAAAACAAAAAAUAUAGAAAGCUAAUCCUAGUAUGCAACAAAAAGCACACUUCAAGAGUGACUCGCUAAGGAAAUUGUUACUCUAAAUUAUUAAUUUGAUGUAUGAUAAACUUAAAAAAUCCUCGAGAACUUUCUCAUUGGGAUGAGUU